UUGGUUUGGUGAAUAAACUUCAAUAUAAAAAUCUGUUCUUAUCAGUUUAAUAUCUGAUACGUCCACUACCCGAGGACCAUAUAUUAAUCUGAUUUUUGGAACAGGGAGACGGAAGAGGGGCUUGCUCCGUCCGCUCCACGCAUCGACCCGGUAUUGCAGCGACUCCGGGAACGGUGCACAUUCC